GGCGGCAUGCCUUACACAUGCAAGUCGAACGGCAGCAUGGAAGAGCUUGCUCUUCUGAUGGCGAGUGGCGAACGGGUGAGUAAAGCAUCGGAACGUACCGUGUAGUGGGGAUAACGUAGCGAAAGUUACGCUAAUACCGCAUACGCACUGAGGUGGAAAGCAGGGGAUCGCAAGACCUUGCGCUAUACGAGCGGCCGAUGUCAGAUUAGCUAGUUGGUAGGGUAAAGGCCUACCAAGGCGACGAUCUGUAGCGGGUCUGAGAGGAUGAUCCGCCACACUGGGACUGAGACACGGCCCAGACUCCUACGGGAGGCAGCAGUGGGGAAUUUUGGACAAUGGGCGAAAGCCUGAUCCAGCCAUGCCGCGUGAGUGAAGAAGGCCUUCGGGUUGUAAAGCUCUUUCGGCUGGGAAGAAAUCGCACAGGCUAAUACUCUGUGUGGAUGACGGUACCAGCACAAGAAGCACCGGCUAACUACGUG
rnacentral:rRNA from 1 species